rnacentral:misc_RNA from 1 species
GGGUGUUGCCGCUUUGCUGUGGCUCAUCUUAAAUGUGCUAGUGCAACUCAUGGUUGGAUAUAGUACAGCGUGAUAAGUAUCUUCGCUGGCACCUCAUGAAGAGGGUGUCCGAUUGGGAGCUCUGUGCUUCAAACUGUCCUGUCUGGGACAAUCUCUGACAACUUGGCCUCAAAUCGAGUAGGACUACCCGCUGAACUUAA